GGGUUGUGAGGUUAAGCGACUAAGCGUACACGGUGGAUGCCCUGGCAGUCAGAGGCGAUGAAGGACGUGCUAAUCUGCGAUAAGCGUCGGUAAGGUGAUAUGAACCGUUAUAACCGGCGAUUUCCGAAUGGGGAAACCCAGUGUGUUUCGACACACUAUCAUUAACUGAAUCCAUAGGUUAAUGAGGCGAACCGGGGGAACUGAAACAUCUAAGUACCCCGAGGAAAAGAAAUCAACCGAGAUUCCCCCAGUAGCGGCGAGCGAACGGGGAGGAGCCCAGAGUCUGAAUCAGUGUGUGUGUUAGUGGAAGCGUCUGGAAAGGCGCGCGAUACAGGGUGACAGCCCCGUACACAAAAAUGCACAUACUGUGAGCUCGAUGAGUAGGGCGGGACACGUGGUAUCCUGUCUGAAUAUGGGGGGACCAUCCUCCAAGGCUAAAUACUCCUGACUGACCGAUAGUGAACCAGUACCGUGAGGGAAAGGCGAAAAGAACCCCGGCGAGGGGAGUGAAAAAGAACCUGAAACCGUGUACGUACAAGCAGUGGGAGCACGCUUAGGCGUGUGACUGCGUACCUUUUGUAUAAUGGGUCAGCGACUUAUAUUCUGUAGCAAGGUUAACCGAAUAGGGGAGCCGAAGGGAAACCGAGUCUUAACUGGGCGUUAAGUUGCAGGGUAUAGACCCGAAACCCGGUGAUCUAGCCAUGGGCAGGUUGAAGGUUGGGUAACACUAACUGGAGGACCGAACCGACUAAUGUUGAAAAAUUAGCGGAUGACUUGUGGCUGGGGGUGAAAGGCCAAUCAAACCGGGAGAUAGCUGGUUCUCCCCGAAAGCUAUUUAGGUAGCGCCUCGUGAAUUCAUCUCCGGGGGUAGAGCACUGUUUCGGCAAGGGGGUCAUCCCGACUUACCAACCCGAUGCAAACUGCGAAUACCGGAGAAUGUUAUCACGGGAGACACACGGCGGGUGCUAACGUCCGUCGUGAAGAGGGAAACAACCCAGACCGCCAGCUAAGGUCCCAAAGUCAUGGUUAAGUGGGAAACGAUGUGGGAAGGCCCAGACAGCCAGGAUGUUGGCUUAGAAGCAGCCAUCAUUUAAAGAAAGCGUAAUAGCUCACUGGUCGAGUCGGCCUGCGCGGAAGAUGUAACGGGGCUAAACCAUGCACCGAAGCUGCGGCAGCGACGCUUAUGCGUUGUUGGGUAGGGGAGCGUUCUGUAAGCCUGUGAAGGUGUGCUGUGAGGCAUGCUGGAGGUAUCAGAAGUGCGAAUGCUGACAUAAGUAACGAUAAAGCGGGUGAAAAGCCCGCUCGCCGGAAGACCAAGGGUUCCUGUCCAACGUUAAUCGGGGCAGGGUGAGUCGACCCCUAAGGCGAGGCCGAAAGGCGUAGUCGAUGGGAAACAGGUUAAUAUUCCUGUACUUGGUGUUACUGCGAAGGGGGGACGGAGAAGGCUAUGUUGGCCGGGCGACGGUUGUCCCGGUUUAAGCGUGUAGGCUGGUUUUCCAGGCAAAUCCGGAAAAUCAAGGCUGAGGCGUGAUGACGAGGCACUACGGUGCUGAAGCAACAAAUGCCCUGCUUCCAGGAAAAGCCUCUAAGCAUCAGGUAACAUCAAAUCGUACCCCAAACCGACACAGGUGGUCAGGUAGAGAAUACCAAGGCGCUUGAGAGAACUCGGGUGAAGGAACUAGGCAAAAUGGUGCCGUAACUUCGGGAGAAGGCACGCUGAUAUGUAGGUGAAGUCCCUUGCGGAUGGAGCUGAA
rnacentral:rRNA from 1 species